UACGUAGGGUGCAAGCGUUGUCCGGAAUUAUUGGGCGUAAAGAGCUCGUAGGCGGUCUGUCGCGUCGGAUGUGAAAACCCAGGGCUCAGCCCUGGGCCUGCAUUCGAUACGGGCAGACUAGAGUUCGGUAGGGGAGACUGGAAUUCCUGGUGUAGCGGUGAAAUGCGCAGAUAUCAGGAGGAACACCGGUGGCGAAGGCGGGUCUCUGGGCCGAAACUGACGCUGAGGAGCGAAAGCGUGGGGAGCAAACAGG
rnacentral:rRNA from 1 species